CAUGCAGUCGAACGGUAGCACAGAGAGCUUGCUCUUGGGUGACGAGUGGCGGACGGGCGAUUAAUGUCUGGGAAACUGCCCGAUGGAGGGGGAUAACUACUGGAAACGGUAGCUAAUACCGCAUAAUGUCGCAAGACCAAAGAGGGGGACCUUCGGGCCUCACACCAUCAGAUGUGCCCAGAUGGGAUUAGCACUAGUAGGUGGGGUAAUGGCUCACCUAGGCGACGAUCCCUAGCUGGUCUGAGAGGAUGACCAGCCACACUGGAACUGAGACACGGUCCAGACUCCUACGGGAGGCAGCAGUGGGGAAUAUUGCACAAUGGGCGCAAGCCUGAUGCAGCCAUGCCGCGUGUAUGAAGAAGGCCUUCGGGUUGUAAAGUACUUUCAGCGAGGAGGAAGGUGUUGAGGUUAAUAACCUCAGCAAUUGACGUUACUCGCAGAAGAAGCACCGGCUAACUCCGUGCCAGCAGCCGCGGUAAUACGGAGGCAGUGCAAGCGUUAAUCGGAAUUACUGGGCGUAAAGCGCACGCAGGCGGUUUGUUAAGUCAGAUGUGAAAUCCCCGGGCUCAACCUGGGAACUGCAUUUGAAACUGGCAAGCUUGAGUCUUGUAGAGGGGGGUAGAAUUCCAGGUGUAGCGGUGAAAUGCGUAGAGAUCUGGAGGAAUACCGGUGGCGAAGGCGGCCCCCUGGACAAAGACUGACGCUCAGGUGCGAAAGCGUGGGGAGCAAACAGGAUUAGAUACCCUGGUAGUCCACGCCGUAAACGAUGUCGACUUGGAGGUUGUUCCCUUGAGGAGUGGCUUACGGAAGCUAACGCGGUUAGUCGACC
rnacentral:rRNA from 1 species